UGUGCAGGAGGACGCAACAGGACAUCAGACGCGCUCUCUACUGAAAAGUACGAACCUGCAGAAGACACGUGGACCGAAAUCCCUGGCAUGAACGUCUAUUCAGAUUAUUUAAAUGCAGAAGUGAUCGACGACACGAUCUUUGUCAUUAGUAGAUAUUUUGACAAGGACCACUUCGAAUCCCGCGUCGCAUGUUUCAAUGACAAGAAAAAUCGAUGGUACGUGGUGGCAAACAUGAAUGUUAGUAGAUCCUUUCUGUCGACUUGUGUCAUCAAGAACCUACCGAAUGCAAGAGAUUAUGCCUAAAAACACCAAGACAAAUUGAUGAAGGAGAAAUUCAAAAAGAUGAUGGCGGAGUAACGUAAAAAA